rnacentral:rRNA from 1 species
GACGAACGCUGGCGGCGUGCUUAACACAUGCAAGUCGAACGAAGUGGCGAACGGGUGAGUAACGCGUAAUCAACCUGCCCUUCAGAGGGGGACAACAGUUGGAAACGACUGCUCAUACCGCAUACGGAAGGAGGGGAUUGCGUCUGAUUAGGUAGUUGGAGGGGUAACGGCCUCCCAAGGCGAUGAGCAGUAGCCGGUCUGUGAGGAGUACCGGCCACAUUGGGAAGGAGACACGGCCCCGACUCCUACGGUGGGCAGCAGUGGGGAACCUUCCGCAAUGGACGAAAGUCUGACGGAGCAACGCCGCGUGAGUGAUGACGGCCUGCGGGUUGUAAAGCUCUGUUAAUCGGGACGCGGUACCGGAAUAGAAAGCCACGGCUAACUACGUGCCAGCAGCCGCGGUAAUUC